GACGAAGGGGGCUAGCGUUGUUCGGAAUUACUGGGCGUAAAGCGCGUGUAGGCGGUUGCCCAAGUCGGGUGUGAAAGCCUUGAGCUCAACUCAAGAAAUGCACUCGGUACUGGGUGACUAGAGGACCGGAGAGGAUAGUGGAAUUCCCAGUGUAGUGGUGAAAUACGUAGAGAUUGGGAAGAACACCAGUGGCGAAGGCGGCUAUCUGGACGGUUUCUGACGCUGAGGCGCGAAAGCGUGGGGAGCAAACAGG
rnacentral:rRNA from 1 species